rnacentral:rRNA from 1 species
AUUGAACGCUGGCGGCAGGCCUAACACAUGCAAGUCGAGCGAGCGGCGGACGGGUGAGUAAUGUCUGGGAAACUGCCCGCUGGAGGGGGAUAACUACUGGAAACGGUAGCUAAUACCGCAUACUGUCAGAUGUGCCCAUAUGGGAUUAGCUAGUAGGUGGGGUAAUGGCUUACCUAGGCGACGAUCCCUAGCUGGUCUGAGAGGAUGACCAGCCACACUGGAACUGAGACACGGUCCAGACUCCUACGGGAGGCAGCAGUGGGGAAUAUUGCACAAUGGGCGCAAGCCUGAUGCAGCCAUGCCGCGUGUAUGAAGAAGGCCUUCGGGUUGUAAAGUACUUUCAGUGGGGAGGCGUUACCGACAGAAGAAGCACCGGCUAACUCCGUGCCAGCAGCCGCGGUAAUAC